CUUGACCUUCUACACUACCUAUUAUCACUAUCAACCGACGCGGACAAGCUGAGAAUGCGGUUUGCUUCGAGUGAAUACGCGUGAUGCCGUAUUCGAAUUUUGGAACGUGCUUUUGGACUUCGUUAAAUCCGUUGCAGCAACUUCAUUGACCUGGGCAUUUCUACCACGGGCCACACUGUCUUUGGAUAGAGAUCUUACUCCGGCACCGGUCAUGGCGUUCUUAUAAUCAAACCGGAGAUUACGCCAGAUGAUAUUGAACUUCCUGCGGUCCGAGAUUGAACGAGUCAUCGAAUGGAAAAUUUUCAUCAUAUCGUGAAGAUAAUCAGUAAAUUUUUCCCCCCUAGACUGCCGUCUCUCAGUUGCUUGUACUUCCAGCUGAAAGUCCAAAUCGGGUGGCAAAAAUUCCCGUUUUAAUUCUUUUUUCAGCUCAUGCCAAUUCCGAAAAUCCCUAUUCUCGGUUCCCUCAAUGAACCAGUCUUUUGCGCGCCCCGCAAAAAGAUGAAUGGCACUCCUGUAUAGCUCUUUCUCUGUGAUGUCCUCAGAGAUGCAUCUCAUUUUAACUUCCUUUAGGAACUCAGUUAGCUUUCUUCCCUGAUCUUUUCCAUCAUACUUUAAUCUCCAUUCAGCUACCGGAAUUCUCUUCAAUUCCCUCUUUCUUCUACCUUCUCUCCUCCCUCUCUCCCUUUUAUGUCCUACAUUGGACUCUAAGCUACUAUCCGAACUAGAGUGAUCUGAGCUUUCGGUUACUGAUGUAACCUCAGAUGCAGAUGAGAAGCUUUGUCUGCGAUGUC